rnacentral:rRNA from 1 species
UACGGGGGGGGCAAGCGUUGUUCGGAAUUACUGGGCGUAAAGGGCUCGUAGGCGGCCAACUAAGUCGGAUGUGAAAUCCCUAAGCUUAACUUGGGAACUGCAUCCGAUACUGGAUGGCUUGAAUCCGGGAGAGGGAUGCAGAAUUCCAGGUGUAGCGGUGAAAUGCGUAGAUAUCUGGAGGAAUACCGGUGGCGAAGGCGGCAUCCUGGACCGGCAUUGACGCUGAGGAGCGAAAGCUAGGGGAGCAAACAGG